rnacentral:rRNA from 1 species
CAGGCCUAACACAUGCAAGUCGAACGAGACCUUCGGGUCUAGUGGCGCACGGGUGCGUAACGCGUGGGAAUCUGCCCUGGGGUACGGAAUAACUCAGAGAAAUUUGAGCUAAUACCGUAUGAUGACGUAAGUCCAAAGAUUUAUCGCCCUGGGAUGAGCCCGCGUAGGAUUAGCUUGUUGGUGAGGUAAAGGCUCACCAAGGCGACGAUCCUUAGCUGGUCUGAGAGGAUGAUCAGCCACACUGGGACUGAGACACGGCCCAGACUCCUACGGGAGGCAGCAGUGGGGAAUAUUGGACAAUGGGCGCAAGCCUGAUCCAGCAAUGCCGCGUGAGUGAUGAAGGCCUUAGGGUUGUAAAGCUCUUUUACCAGGGAUGAUAAUGACAGUACCUGGAGAAUAAGCUCCGGCUAACUCCGUGCCAGCAGCCGCGGUAAU